rnacentral:rRNA from 1 species
AUUGAACGCUGGCGGCAGGCCUAACACAUGCCAGUCGAGCGGAUGAAGGGAGCUUGCUCCUGGAUUCAGCGGCGGACGGGUGAGUAAUGCCUAGGAAUCUGCCUGGUAGUGGGGGAUAACGUCCGGAAACGGGCGCUAAUACCGCAUACGUCCUGAGGGAGAAAGUGGGGGAUCUUCGGACCUCACGCUAUCAGAUGAGCCUAGGUCGGAUUAGCUAGUUGGUGGGGUAAAGGCCUACCAAGGCGACGAUCCGUAACUGGCCUGAGAGGAUGAUCAGUCGCACUGGAACUGAGACACGGUCCAGACUCCUACGGGAGGCAGCAGUGGGGAAUAUUGGACAAUGGGCGAAAGCCUGAUCCAGCCAUGCCGCGUGUGUGAAGAAGGUCUUCGGAUUGUAAAGCACUUUAAGUUGGGAGGAAGGGCAGUAAGUUAAUACCUUGCUGUUUUGACGUUACCAACAGAAUAAGCACCGGCUAACUUCGUG